rnacentral:tRNA from 1 species
GAGGGUACAGCUCAGUGGCAGAGCAUGUGCUUAGCAUGCAGGAGGUCCUGGGUUCAGUCCCCAGUACUGCCA